rnacentral:rRNA from 1 species
AUUGAACGCUGGCGGCAUGCUUUACACAUGCAAGUCGAACGGCAGCGCGGGCUUCGGCCUGGCGGCGAGUGGCGAACGGGUGAGUAAUACAUCGGAACGUGCCCAGUAGUGGGGGAUAGCUCGGCGAAAGCCGGAUUAAUACCGCAUACGACCUGAGGGUGAAAGCGGGGGAUCUUCGGACCUCUCGCUAUUUGAGCGGCCGAUGGCAGAUUAGCUAGUUGGUGGGGUAAAGGCCUACCAAGGCGACGAUCUGUAGCUGGUCUGAGAGGACGACCAGCCACACGGGGACUGAGACACGGCCAAGACUCCUACGGGAGGCAGCAGUGGGGAAUUUUGGACAAUGGGGGAAAGCAUGAUCCAGCAAUGCCGCGUGUGUGAUGAAGGCCUUCGGGUUGUAAAGCACUUUUGGCGGGAACGAAAAGGACUGUGCCAAUACCACGGUUCGAUGACGGUACCCGCAGAAUAAGCACCGGCUAACUACGUG